rfam:Bacillus enclensis strain SGD-1123 genomic scaffold Scaffold1, whole genome shotgun sequence.
UGGGCAGUAUCGAAAGAACUGCACCCUUACAAAAGCAAGAAACAUAAUACUGAAUAAUAUCUGCCUUGAUCCAAAUUGGACUGGGACAGAGGG